rnacentral:rRNA from 1 species
UCACUUGUUCUUUAAAUGGGGACUAGUAUGAAUGGCACCACGAGGGUUACACUGUCUCCUCCAUCUAAUCAGUGAAACUAAUCUCCCCGUGAAGAAGCGGGGAUAUAACUAUAAGACGAGAAGACCCUAUGGAGCUUUAAACUUCCCUUCAAACGCCAGAUUACUUCAAUUGUCAGCGACUUUAUUAUAUAUACCUCAGCGUUAUGAAGACGACUUUUAGGUUGGGGUGACCGCGGAGUACAAAAUAACCUCCACGUUGAACAGGCCUCCAAGCCUUGAACAAAGGACUACAGCCCAAUGUACUAAAAAACUAACACCAUUGACCCAAUAUAUUUUGAUCAACGAACCAAGUUACCCUAGGGAUAACAGCGCAAUCUACUUCAAGAGUCCCUAUCGACAAGUAGGUUUACGACCUCGAUGUUGGAUCAGGGUAUCCCAGUGGUGCAGCCGCUACUAAAGGUUCGUUUGUUCA